rnacentral:sRNA from 1 species
UAUCCAUUGAGCCUCGCUAUCAGCUGGUA